UUUAUAAAUUAUUAUAAAUUUAUAAAUAUAAUUUAUCAUAUAUUUAUAAAUAAAGUUUGAGUUUUAUUCAUAAUUUUUAACUGAAUUUCAAAUCUUCAAAGACUAAUAAAAAUAGUGGUUAAUAUUUAUUGCAUGCUUCAUAAACAUAGUACAGUUGAUCCUUGAGCAACAUGGGGGUAGGGACACCAAACUCCUCACAGUCAAAAAUCUAUAUGUAACUUAAGUCUCUCCCAAAACUUAAUUAUGAAUAGCUCUACUGUCGACCAGAAGUCUUACUGAUAACAUGAACACUUAGUUAAUUAUUUUGUGUGUUAUAUGUAUUGCAGAUGGUAUUCUUGCAAGAAAGUAAGCUGGAGAAAAAAAAAUCGUAAGGAAGAGAAAAUACAUUUACACUUUGGUAUUUAUCAAGAAAAAUCCCUGUCUAAGUGCACGUAUGCAGGUCAAACCGGUGUUGUUCAGGGGUUAUGCGUCCAUAGGUACUUCAUGUGCAUUUUCUCAUUUAAUCUUUGCAACACCUCACGAGUUAGGUGUGAUCAUUAUCACUAUUGUUACUGAUAGUAAAGUUGGAGUAAGAUUGGAAUGGGGUGGAGUGAGGUGGAAUAAAGUUGGAGUGAAGUAAAUUUGGAUUGAGAUGGAGUGAGGUGGGAGAGAGGGGGAGGAAGGUUGGAGUGAGGGGGAGUAAUGGAGUGAGGUAGAAGCGAGGUAGAGUAACUGGUCCAAGUCACUUAGUCAGUGAGAGGCAGAACCAGCAAUUGAACUCAGGAUAUUGGGCCCAGAACCUCAGCUCCUGACCACUAGGCACAUCACCCCCGAUAGGAUUUGUCUUUGAGAUCUUAACUAGGAACAGCAAUCAUUCAGCAGCCAAAACUGUUUUGUUUUUGUUGUUUGCAAGAUCUCGGUACACCUUCUUAUCCUUCUUUGUUGUUCAAGUUAAAUAAGGGGCAGCUUUUCUCCUCGACAGAACUGAAAUGGGAAUUUGCUGGAGGAUUUGAGAGCACACACAAAUUGUGCAGCCUUGGGUUCGCGGAAGCCGAGGCAGUAAGGAGCGUUGGCCUCUGCCCUCAGGGGGGAAACAUCUGAGCUGGCAUCCCAAGGCAUGCUUUGUGUAGGGGAGAAAAAUACCCAUGAAGGAAGCUUCUCAGAGGGUGACCAGGUGCACAGUUCAGCCAAGAGCAGUGGACAGCUAGUAAGCAGCUGAAGCAGGAAGUAGCUAUGGAUCCACCUCCCCUUCCCAGGCACCAUUUUGGCUACAGCGUGGAGGGUCCUGCUUGCUCUCCUCUGAAGAAUCUUGACAACUCUGUUCUUGGUCCCUUAAGAUUCGGGACAUGCUGCAGAACCUUCCCUACAGCAGACUGUCCUUGCUGUCUGGAGUAGGCUCUGUCCCCAACUCACUUCUCCCAGGGCUGCUCAGAGUCUGCUUUCUCUGAUGAGAGAACUGAAGCCACGUUCUGCACAGUGACGCUAGGCUUUGAGCCCAUGCCCUUCCAUACCAUGCUUUGCUGCUCUGGCUUAGGAUGAUGAAAGUAAUGACUCAGGAUGCCCCUGGGGAUUUGCACCUUGUGCCUGCUUUUCUUGACACCCCGCAAGGCCACACACCCGGUACAGGUUCAUCGGGUUUAGGAAACUCCACCUAGACAAGCAGCUUGUUUCGGGCGGGGCCUCUCCCCAGAACUGAACUCCUAGGGCUGCGGGUGUGUGGGUUUCAGAAUCCAGUGGUCCCAGGGAUGCGCAGGGCAGAUCCCCAUCACACAAGAUGUUAGGGCAAAGAUGUUACCAUACCAGACUCCAAAGCAAGUUCACUUACUAACAACAACAACAACAACAACAACCAAACAGUCCCCCAAGGUUUUGCUGGGGCCCUUCAGCCUCCCUGUCCAAGCCCGUGCUGCCGGCCUCUCCGCCCUCGGCCCUGACGGCCAUUCACGCAUUCUGCUGCUGGUUGGCAUGACAUGCAGGGAACAGAGGAAGAUUUGUAUGCAUGUGGCCACCACACUGCCGCGCUGGACCCGGGCAAGAAGCCCUUCUCUCCUGCUGGGAAGAGCAUGGGUCUCUCGGGAGCGCAGCGCGGACAGGACAGCAUCUUUCUGGCGGGGCUUCCAUCUGACCUAACAUGAGUUGGAGAGAGGCCAUGAGGACCCUGGGUGAAAGUCACAACCCCCACACUCCGCUCAGGGACCUGAGGGGCUGGCCACGUCCUGGUCCCAGUACUGGGCAGGGGCAGGCCUAACAGGAAGCGGGUUGGCAGGCUGCGGCGGGUGCUGGGCACUUUCAUCUUUUGCCUGUCUUCGCUCAGAGGCUGUGAGCGCUCCAAUUCCGUUUUCACUUCUUUGGAAGUGCUGAUAAGAUGGGAACGGAAUAAAUCAAACGCCAAGUUACAUGUUUCCUGGCUUAGGAAGAAAAAAAAAAAAACAAAACCUAAGCAUAACCUUGGAAAUGCUCCCGGACAGUAUUCUUUUUAAAAACUUUUUCCCCCAAGGUGAUUUUUCCUUCUUGUUUUUUUUUUUUUUUUAUUGUGGUAAAAUAUACAUAACAUAAAAUUGGCCGUUUCCCCAUUCUAAGGGCACAAUUCAGUGACAUUAAGCACAUUCAAACUCUAGUGCAGCCGUCACCAUCAUGCAUCUCCAGAAGUUUUUCAUCUUCCUCAGUGGAAACACUACCCCCCUUACACACGAACUCCCUGAUCCCCAUGCUUCUCUGGGGAGCCUGCCUGAGGGCCGCCUCCCACCCAAGGCACCCAGGGGCUACAGCUGAAGUAUCAUCUCUGCAGCCAUGCAUGGGAUACAGGGUGGCCCUGUGUCCUGGCCCAAAUUCCUCCUGGUGUGGGCUGGCCACCCGUUGUCCUGGUCCUGGAUGGAGCUGAGGACAGCUGCUUGCAUCUUAAGGAAGCGGAUCUGUCAGAUGUCAGUCAUCUUUAUAGAGGUCAAAGCUGAACCCGUGGAGCGCCUGUGUUCCCAGGCACUGUCUUAAAGCCCUCUGCAGGCAGUUCUUGUCUUUCAACCAGCUUUGGUCUAGUCCUUACAGAAUGGAUGCAGCAGGAAGCCAGUUUCAUUAAUUCACACCUUUGACUGUGGAGUGAAGGAGAGGGAGCGGCUCUCCGAGGCCGGGCUGGGGUUUUAUUUUAUUCUGUUUCAGUCCCAAUCCCCACAACGACCCAUGAGGACCAGAGAUAUCUCAUUGCCAUCUUGCAUCCGAGAAAAUAGGCACAGAGAAGUUAAAUCUAAGGGUGCGUUUCUGGAUCCUGACCAGGACAAGAGUCAAAGGGGGCAUUCUUCCACGUUUGGCAAUUCCUGCGUAAGCUGGGGGCCGGCAGCUGCGGAGUGGUCUCGGGUCCCGCUACACCUGCCACAGGUGUGCGUGGAUGGAUGGCGGGAGGGGAGGCGAGGCUGGUGCGGAAGCGAGUCAGCCCUGUGCCACGGACCGCGCCAGAGUGUCUCUGGACCUUUGUCGCCCCUGAGUUGUCAGGGGGCUGGGCCACCACCUGCCUCAAGACCCAGAGUGUGUGCUCAGAGUGGCUUCCCCCCCGGGGGACAGAGACUGACGUGUCAUUUCUGGGUUGAUUUUCUAGUACAAAGGUCCACUACAGGCCUUCAGGGACAUGAAUCAGUACGUGUGUUUUGUGAGCAGCUUCGGGAAAGGGAAAGAAUGAUGUCGAAGAUCUCGGGCGGGGCUGGAGCAGCUGACUUUCUGAGUGACUGACAACGUCAGCUCUGGGAGCAGCUCCAGGCCAAGGCAUACGUGGGCUUUGACCCUCUGGCCCCGCUGUCUCUGUGUUUAUCCACUCUGCUUCCUCUGCAGCUGAUGUCAUUGUGACUUCAUAUUUUGCCCUAGGCUAGUCCCUGGGGAGAGGGGUGUUGAGGGCCCACUGCAGGCCACCAGCCAGCUGAAGCCCCCGCCCCCACCGCCGCCCGAUCCCCCCAGUCACUCUGCAAUGGCUCAGGAGCUCAAAAUGGCCAUUGCAUUGUUAAAUGGUUGGAAACAAAAGAAGAUCUCAUGACCCCUGCAAAUUAUAUGCAAUUGCAAUGUCAGUGUCCACGAUAAAGCUUUAUUGGAACACA